rnacentral:rRNA from 1 species
UUCGUAGUUGAACAGAGGGCCGUCGAGUGCGCUGCCCGGUCCCGCCCGGUUCGGGUUUUUCGGCGACCUCAGCCCUUGCGGCCCGCGAACAUUCAAAGAAACACGAAACACGGGAGCGAUUCCUUUCCUGACUCACGCGUGCCAUGCAUGCCAGGGGGCGUCCGUGAUUUUUACUGUGACUAAAGAAGUGCGACCAAAGCAGUCAUUUCGACUUGAAUUAGAAAGCAUGGGAUAACAAGAGACAGCCUUGGGGCUACCGUUUCGGCUUUUGUUGGUUUUAGAGGUCCUUUGGAGAUUAUGGGUCCCCGGCGCGACGCGCCGCGUGGCGUGUGUUCACUCAUUCGUCSCGCGUYGKCUKGGUGCGCGUGYUUUUCUGYGCGCGUGGCCAACUCGCCGGCCCAGGAAUGAAGGAGGGUAGUCGGGGGAGAACGUACUCGAGCGUCAGAGGUGAAAUUCUUAGACCGAUCGAAGACGAACUACAGCGGAGGCAUUCUUCAAGGAUACCUUCCUCAAUCAAGAACCAAAGUGUGGAGAUCGAAGAUGAUUAGAGACCAUUGUAGUCCACACUGCAAACGAUGACACCCAUGAAUUGGGGA